AUUGAACGCUGGCGGCAUGCUUUACACAUGCAAGUCGAACGGUAACAGGCCGCAAGGUGCUGACGAGUGGCGAACGGGUGAGUAAUGCAUCGGAACGUGCCCAGUCGUGGGGGAUAACGCAGCGAAAGCUGCGCUAAUACCGCAUACGAUCUCUGGAUGAAAGCGGGGGACCGAAAGGCCUCGCGCGAUUGGAGCGGCCGAUGUCAGAUUAGGUAGUUGGUGGGGUAAAGGCCCACCAAGCCAACGAUCUGUAGCUGGUCUGAGAGGACGACCAGCCACACUGGGACUGGUACACGGCCCAGACUCCUACGUGAGGCAGUAGUUGGGAAUUUUGGACAAUGGGCGCAAGCCUGAUCCAGCAAUGACGCGUGCAGGAAGAAGACCUUCGGUUUGUAAACUGCUUUUGUACGGAACGAAACGGUCCGGGUUAAUACCCUGGGCUAAUGACGGUACCGUAAGAAUAAGCACCGUCUAACUACGUGACAGCCGCCGCGGUAA
rnacentral:rRNA from 1 species